rnacentral:rRNA from 3 species
CAGACCUCUAAUCGGAAAAGACUACCCGCUGAGUUUAAGCAUAUCACUAAGCGGAGGAGAAGAAACUAACCAGGAUUUCCCUAG